rnacentral:rRNA from 1 species
UACGGAGGGGGCUAGCGUUGUUCGGAAUUACUGGGCGUAAAGCGCGCGCGGGCGGCAUGGCAAGUCAGUGGUGAAAGGCCUGGGCUCAACCUGGGAAUUGCCUUUGAUACUGCCAUGCUUGAGUAAGGGAGAGGGUGGUGGAAUUCCCAGUGUAGAGGUGAAAUUCGUAGAUAUUGGGAAGAACACCGGUUGCGAAGGCGGCCACCUGGCCCUUCACUGACGCUGAGGCGCGAAAGCGUGGGGAGCAAACAGGAUUAGAAA